UUCCGCUUCUUGACGAUUCAGCCCGAAACUCAGUAUGGAUUCAACAUGGCGAAUGACAACUUCGAGCAUUGAUUGACUGAGGAGGUACAAAAGUACCUUCACCAGUAUGAUUCUAGUCAUUCAUUAUAUAAAUACCAGCAUGUAAAUGCCAAUUCAUGGAGGGAGAUUGUGGAGACGCUGGGGCCAACCCAACCACUUGUUUGAAAAAGUGGAGUAGGGUUUGCGACAAGUUCGUCAAGGCAAAGAAAAGAAACAAGGGCCGCAGUGGAGAUGCCGGUGGAAAGGCUACUCCAGAAAUGUUGCAGCUGGCUUGUUUGGAACAUUAAGCAUGGGAAGACUGAAAGCAACAUGCCGUCUCACCAAAGGAUGGUACACAAACACCAGUGAAUGGAGACAGCACCUGGUUUUGUUCUCUGCGCCCCAGCACAGCCUGUUCACUACCUCUACCCCCAGUACUGACUGGUGGCCGGCUCCCAGCACAUCUCCCGCACUGAGUUGCAGUGCAGAAUUAGAAACAUCUCCAUGCUGGACCUGGGAAGCUCUAUCCUGGGCCCACCUCCAAGACCUACUCCACCGAUGCCACAGAGCAGCAGCAGUAGUUCUGUAGCAGGGGUGUGAGAAGAAGGGAGAAAACAGCUGCAGACAUCACUCACAAAGGCAUUGAUUGAAGACAUAUCUCAAGAUCUCCGAGCAUGUCUUGUUCGCAAUGUUGUGUGUCUCACAUGUCUGUUCAUAAGACACUGUUUUACUAUUGUUCCGAAAUAUUUAUAUGGCUCAUAAAUAUUUGUAUCUACACUCUUGACACUUCAUAUUUCACCCUUUUGUUGUUUACAUGUCUGUUCAUAGCAGACACUGUUGUACUACUGUUAAGAAAUAUGUAUAUUCAGAAAUAUUUGUAACUAUACUGACACAUUUUAUUCCAUAGACACUUGUUUACAUGUCUGUUUUCAGCAGAGACUUUUGUACUGUGGUUUACUUUCAGAAGCAAUAAUAAAGGUUUAUUUGUGUGCUGAAAAAGCAUCACUUCAUCUCAACACAAGGUGUUUGAAUGCAUUCUAUUUGCGCUGACAAAGUACAGAAGAGCUGUGUGCCACAGAUUUUACUGGCUUUCUUCUACUUGUGGUGUAGUUAAAGCUAAUCUAAAUUAAAACACAGUGCACACAAA